rnacentral:misc_RNA from 1 species
GAUGAAGAACGCAGCAAAAUGCGAUAAGUAAUGUGAAUUGCAGAAUUCAGUGAUCAUCGAAUCUUUGAACGCACAUUGCGCCCGCUGGUAUUCCGGCGGGCAUGCCUGUUCGAGCGUCAUUUCAACCCUCAAGCCCCCGGGUUUGGUGUUGGGGAUCGGCUCUGCCCUUCUGGGCGGUGCCGCCCCCGAAAUACAUUGGCGGUCUCGCUGCAGCCUCCAUUGCGUAGUAGCUAACACCUCGCAACUGGAACGCGGCGCGGCCAUGCCGUAAAACCCCAACUUCUGAAUGUUGACCUCGGAUCAGGUAGGAAUACCCGCUGAACUUAAGCAUAUCAAUAAGCGGAGGA